CUACGGGGGGCAGCAGUGGGGAAUAUUGCACAAUGGGCGCAAGCCUGAUGCAGCAACGCCGCGUGAGGGAUGAAGGCCUUCGGGUUGUAAACCUCUUUUAGCAGGGAAGAAGCGAAAGUGACGGUACCUGCAGAAAAAGCACCGGCUAACUACGUGCCAGCAGCCGCGGUAAUACGUAGGGUGCAAGCGUUGUCCGGAAUUAUUGGGCGUAAAGAGCUCGUAGGCGGUUUGUCACGUCUGCUGGGAAAAUCCAAGGCUCAACCUUGGACUUGCAGUGGGUACGGGCAGGCUAGAGUGCGGUAGGGGAGAUGGGAAUUCCUGGUGUAGCGGUGGAAUGCGCAGAUAUCAGGAGGAACACCAAUGGCGAAGGCACAUCUCUGGGCCGUAACUGACGCUGAGGAGCGAAAGCGUGGGGAGCGAACAGGAUUAGAUACCCCGGUAGUC
rnacentral:rRNA from 1 species